rnacentral:lncRNA from 1 species
GCCCCCGUGCCAUUCCCGGUCCAAGUGCUGAACCCGUCUGCCCUCCCGCAUCCACAGCAGACACGAGCUUUCGUCUCGGUCCACAAAAAUCUUCCCCCGCGCUCUUCGCUGGUCCAGAGCGCCCGCCACGCCGUCAGGGCUGCUGAACCCUCCCCAAACGGACGAGCAAGCGCGCGCGGCCCGGCGCGGCAGCCUCCCCGUCGCGCGGUCUCGGCCUGGCCUGGCCUGGCGGGCGGGCCUGCCCUCCGCUCUGCUCGCAGACUCGGGGCUCUCCUCCCGGGGCACGGUCGCAGCCGACGGCUUUCGGAGUUGGUGGUGCCGCGCUCCCGCCCUCACGCGCCGUGCUCCGGCAGAGCAGCAGAGGGCGGCAGCACGCAUCAGGGGAGCGCUCGGAGGAGCCUCGGGCAAGACGCCGGCCGGUGGGCAGGGCCGAGCGCCACCCUCGCGGCGGAGGCCGCGUCCCUCCCGCCCCCCGGCUGCGCUCCCCGCCUCGAGGAAGCCAGCGCCCUCCCCCCGCUCGGCGGGCAGCAAGCCUCGGCCCAGCACCCGCACCCUCGCCCAGGGCCCGCGCUGCCACGUGUGCCAGGGCCGGCGAGGCCGACACCCUCGUGCUGGGACCUGCUCCGGGGCCGCCGCGGGGCCUCGCUCUGUGCUCCCGCGGCCCGCAGACAGCGAGGGAACAGGCGCAGCAGCGAGCGCCCCCGGGACCCGGGACCCGGGACCACGGACGGCGGCGGGGCGGGGUGGGGGGGGGUCUCCGGGCUUGGCCUCCGCGCCGACCGCUGCGGCCACGCUCCGCCCCUGCGCGGCCCCGCCCCGGGGGAGGGGAGCCGACCACCCAGUCGCACAGCGUGGGGGCCGCGGACGCGCGCGCAGGCCCAGCCCGGAGACCCCCCCGCCGUCCCGGCGGCGCGCGCUCUUACGUGGCCCGGGCCCGCUGCGCUCCUCGGGGACCUGCACCUCGCCGCGCCCGCGAGCCGCGAAGGAGCCCGCGAUGGGACGGCGCCUCCGCCGCAAUUAACGGUCUUCCGGGCCGUGCCGGAAGUGCUCCCUCCAAGGCAGGAAGUCCCGCCUCCCAGCCCGGCCUCCUCGGGCUCCCUAGAGCGCCACCGCCCGGGUGGAGGGGGAAUGGGCGUGGAGGCGGCGCCCUGGUCGGUGAAGUAUACAGUCUCAAGGGCCCAUAGUGAAGGCCAGUUUGACGCGGGUUCGAAUCCCAUCUCUGUCUAA